AUGGAUGCUAUUCUUCAGUUGUGUGCUACACUGACGAAAGUCCAUGUGGCUGCUAUCAGUUUUCUUGAGUCUGGUGGCCUACAUGCGUUGCUAAGUUUGCUGACAAGUAGCUUGUUUUCUGGAUUCAACAGUGUGGUUUCUACAAUCAUCUGUCAUAUUUGGAGUAUAUUCCCAUACCCUUCAGCAAGCUAUGAAAUUAUAGUCUUGUCAUGGCUGCUAAUCGGCAUGCAAAUCCUAGGGUUACACCACGUAAUUUUGUUCAAAAUUUGGCGUUUGUUGAUACAGGGACCCAGUGAUAUUUAUGAAAGCUGCCCAAGCUGUGUGCCAGAUUGA
rnacentral:rRNA from 1 species